rnacentral:snoRNA from 1 species
AAAAAGAGUUAUUUGCUGGGGCUCUGUUACGGAUCCCUAUUGUUUGCUUUACUUAUGGAACUACUAGUUAGAUCUGUGAGAAAGAACUACGAGUCAGCU